AACGCACAUUGCGCCCGCUGGUAUUCCGGCGGGCAUGCCUGUUCGAGCGUCAUUUCAACCCUCAAGCCCCCGGGUUUGGUGUUGGGGAUCGGCUCUGCCUCACGGCGGUGCCGCCCCCGAAAUACAUUGGCGGUCUCGCUGCAGCCUCCAUUGCGUAGUAGCUAACACCUCGCAACUGGAACGCGGCGCGGCCAUGCCGUAAAACCCCAACUUCUGAAUGUUGACCUCGGAUCAGGUAGGAAUACCCGCUGAACUUAA
rnacentral:misc_RNA from 1 species